rnacentral:rRNA from 1 species
CCUACGGGAGGCAGCAGUGGGGAAUAUUGCACAAUGGGCGCAAGCCUGAUGCAGCCAUGCCGCGUGUGUGAAGAAGGCCUUCGGGUUGUAAAGCACUUUCAGCGAGGAGGAAGGUGGUGAGCUUAAUACGCUCAUCAAUUGACGUUACUCGCAGAAGAAGCACCGGCUAACUCCGUGCCAGCAGCGCGGUAAU